AACGAACGCUGGCGGCAUGCCUAACACAUGCAAGUCGAACGAGACCUUCGGGUCUAGUGGCGCACGGGUGCGUAACGCGUGGGAACCUGCCCUUAGGUUCGGAAUAACUCCCCGAAAGGGGUGCUAAUACCGGAUAAUGUCUUCGGACCAAAGAUUUAUCGCCUUUGGAUGGGCCCGCGUUGGAUUAGCUAGUUGGUAGGGUAAAAGCCUACCAAGGCGACGAUCCAUAGCUGGUCUGAGAGGAUGAUCAGCCACACUGGAACUGAGACACGGCCCAGACUCCUACGGGGGGGAGCAGUGGGGAAUAUUGGACGAUGGGCGAAAGCCUGAUCCAGCAAUGCCGCGUGAGUGAUGAAGGCCUUAGGGUUGUAAAGCUCUUUUACCCGGGAUGAUAAUGACAGUACCGGGAGAAUAAGCUCCGGCUAACUCCGUG
rnacentral:rRNA from 1 species